AGGGGUAUAGCUCAAUUGGCAGAGCAUUGGUCUCCAAAACCAAAGGUUGGCGGUUCGAUGCCGUCUGCCCCUGCCA
rnacentral:tRNA from 1 species